rnacentral:misc_RNA from 1 species
CUUCGCGGUGUUCCUCACCAAUCCGUCGCCGAUCUGCGUGCUGGACGAAGUCGACGCGCCGCUGGACGACCACAACGUCGAGCGGUUCUGCAACCUGCUGCAUGAGAUGACCUCGUCCACCGAGACGCGCUUCAUCAUCAUCACCCACAACCCGAUCACCAUGGCGCGCAUGAACCGGCUGUUCGGCGUCACCAUGGCGGAACGCGGCGUGUCGCAGCUCGUGUCGGUCGAUCUCGACGGCGCGAUGAAGGUUCUCGACCAGAACG